GACGAACCGUGCGAACGUUGUUCGGAAUCACUGGGCUUAAAGGGCGCGUAGGCGGUUGUGCAAGUCUGUGGUGAAAGCCUCCAGCUUAACUGGAGAAGUGCCAUGGAUACUGCACAUCUUGAGGAGGGUAGGGGCAUCUGGAACGGUCGGUGGAGCGGUGAAAUGCGUUGAUAUCGACCGGAACUCCGGUGGCGAAGGCGAGGUGCUGGACCCUUUCUGACGCUGAGGCGCGAAAGCCAGGGGAGCAAACGGG
rnacentral:rRNA from 1 species